rnacentral:rRNA from 1 species
GACGAACGCUGGCGGCGUGCUUAACACAUGCAAGUCGAACGGAAAGGCCCUGCUUUUGUGGGGUGCUCGAGUGGCGAACGGGUGAGUAACACGUGGGUAACCUGCCCUUGACUUUGGGAUAACUUCAGGAAACUGGGGUUAAUACCGGAUAGGAGCUCCUGCUGCAUGGUGGGGGUUGGAAAGUUUCGGCGGUUGGGGAUGGACUCGCGGCUUAUCAGCUUGUUGGUGGGGUAGUGGCUUACCAAGGCUUUGACGGGUAGCCGGCCUGAGAGGGUGACCGGCCACAUUGGGACUGAGAUACGGCCCAGACUCCUACGGGAGGCAGCAGUGGGGAAUAUUGCACAAUGGGCGGAAGCCUGAUGCAGCAACGCCGCGUGCGGGAUGACGGCCUUCGGGUUGUAAACCGCUUUCGCCUGUGACGAAGCGUGAGUGACGGUAAUGGGUAAAGAAGCACCGGCUAACUACGUG